rnacentral:rRNA from 1 species
CAGCUAGUUGGUGAGGUAAUGGCUCACCAAGGCUACGAUCCAUAGCUGGUCUGAGAGGAUGAUCAGCCACACUGGGACUGAGACACGGCCCAGACUCCUACGGGAGGCAGCAGUGAGGAAUAUUGGACAAUGGGGGAAACCCUGAUCCAGCCAUGCCGCGUGAGUGAUGAAGGCCUUCGGGUUGUAAAGCUCUUUUAGAUGUGAAGAUGAUGACGGUAGCAUCAGAAAAAGCUCCGGCUAACUUCGUGCCAGCAGCCGCGGUAAUACGAAGGGAGCGAGCGUUGUUCGGAAUCACUGGGCUUAAAGCGUGCGUAGGCGGAUUAGUAAGUCAGAAGUGAAAUCCCGGGGCUUAACCCCGGAACUGCUUUUGAGACUGCUCAUCUAGAAUUCGGUAGAGGUUAAUGGAAUAUCCAGUGUAGAGGUGAAAUUCGCAGAUAUUGGAUGGAACACCAGUGGCGAAGGCGAUUAACUGGGCCGACAUUGACGCUGAGGCACGAAAGCGUGGGUAGCAAACAGGAUUAGAUACCCUGGUAGUCCACGCCGUAAACCAUGUAUGCUAGCUGUUGGAGUCCUUAGGGCUUCGGCGG